UUCCUACGGGACGCAGCAGUGGGGAAUAUUGCACAAUGGGGGAAACCCUGAUGCAGCGACGCCGCGUGAGUGAAGAAGUAUUUCGGUAUGUAAAGCUCUAUCAGCAGGGAAGAAAAUGACGGUACCUGACUAAGAAGCCCCGGCUAACUACGUGCCAGCAGCCGCGGUAAUACGUAGGGGGCAAGCGUUAUCCGGAUUUACUGGGUGUAAAGGGAGCGUAGGUGGCAGGGCAAGUCAGAUGUGAAAACCCGGGGCUCAACUCCGGGAGUGCAUUUGAAACUGUCAAGCUAGAGUGCAGGAGAGGG
rnacentral:rRNA from 1 species